AGUGGGGAAUAUUGCACAAUGGGCGCAAGCCUGAUGCAGCGACGCCGCGUGAGGGAUGACGGCCUUCGGGUUGUAAACCUCUUUCAGUAGGGAAGAAGCGAAAGUGACGGUACCUGCAGAAGAAGCGCCGGCUAACUACGUGCCAGCAGCCGCGGUAAUACGUAGGGCGCAAGCGUUAUCCGGAAUUAUUGGGCGUAAAGAGCUCGUAGGCGGUUUGUCGCGUCUGCCGUGAAAGUCCGGGGCUCAACUCCGGAUCUGCGGUGGGUACGGGCAGACUAGAGUGAUGUAGGGGAGACUGGAAUUCCUGGUGUAGCGGUGAAAUGCGCAGAUAUCAGGAGGAACACCGAUGGCGAAGGCAGGUCUCUGGGCAUUAACUGACGCUGAGGAGCGAAAGCAUGGGGAGCGAA
rnacentral:rRNA from 1 species